rfam:Lupinus angustifolius cultivar Tanjil contig_41176, whole genome shotgun sequence.
ACCCACUACUUUUACAUUCAUAGGGUGGAUUUUCUUAUAUCUUUUUUUAGUAUUAUCAAAGUAUUCUCUCACCUUUUGAUAAGGUAACGGCGGCCGUAACUAUAACGGUCCUAAGGUAGCGAAAUUCCUUGUCGGGUAAGUUCCGACCCGCACGAAA